rnacentral:rRNA from 1 species
AAAUUGAAGAGUUUGAUCAUGGCUCAGAUUGAACGCUGGCGGCAGGCCUAACACAUGCAAGUCGAACGGUAACAGGAAGCAGCUUGCUGCUUCGCUGACGAGUGGCGGACGGGUGAGUAAUGUCUGGGAAACUGCCUGAUGGAGGGGGAUAACUACUGGAAACGGUAGCUAAUACCGCAUAACGUCGCAAGACCAAAGAGGGGGACCUUCGGGCCUCUUGCCAUCGGAUGUGCCCAGAUGGGAUUAGCUUGUUGGUGGGGUAACGGCUCACCAAGGCGACGAUCCCUAGCUGGUCUGAGAGGAUGACCAGCCACACUGGAACUGAGACACGGUCCAGACUCCUACGGGAGGCAGCAGUGGGGAAUAUUGCACAAUGGGCGCAAGCCUGAUGCAGCCAUGCCGCGUGUAUGAAGAAGGCCUUCGGGUUGUAAAGUACUUUCAGCGGGGAGGAAGGGAGUAAAGUUAAUACCUUUGCUCAUUGACGUUACCCGCAGAAGAAGCACCGGCUAACUCCGUGCCAGCAGCCGCGGUAAUACGGAGGGUGCAAGCGUUAAUCGGAAUUACUGGGCGUAAAGCGCACGCAGGCGGUUUGUUAAGUCAGAUGUGAAAUCCCCGGGCUCAACCUGGGAACUGCAUCUGAUACUGGCAAGCUUGAGUCUCGUAGAGGGGGGUAGAAUUCCAGGUGUAGCGGUGAAAUGCGUAGAGAUCUGGAGGAAUACCGGUGGCGAAGGCGGCCCCCUGGACGAAGACUGACGCUCAGGUGCGAAAGCGUGGGGAGCAAACAGGAUUAGAUACCCUGGUAGUCCACGCCGUAAACGAUGUCGACUUGGAGGUUGUGCCCUUGAGGCGUGGCUUCCGGAGCUAACGCGUUAAGUCGACCGCCUGGGGAGUACGGCCGCAAGGUUAAAACUCAAAUGAAUUGACGGGGGCCCGCACAAGCGGUGGAGCAUGUGGUUUAAUUCGAUGCAACGCGAAGAACCUUACCUGGUCUUGACAUCCACGGAAGUUUUCAGAGAUGAGAAUGUGCCUUCGGGAACCGUGAGACAGGUGCUGCAUGGCUGUCGUCAGCUCGUGUUGUGAAAUGUUGGGUUAAGUCCCGCAACGAGCGCAACCCUUAUCCUUUGUUGCCAGCGGUCCGGCCGGGAACUCAAAGGAGACUGCCAGUGAUAAACUGGAGGAAGGUGGGGAUGACGUCAAGUCAUCAUGGCCCUUACGACCAGGGCUACACACGUGCUACAAUGGCGCAUACAAAGAGAAGCGACCUCGCGAGAGCAAGCGGACCUCAUAAAGUGCGUCGUAGUCCGGAUUGGAGUCUGCAACUCGACUCCAUGAAGUCGGAAUCGCUAGUAAUCGUGGAUCAGAAUGCCACGGUGAAUACGUUCCCGGGCCUUGUACACACCGCCCGUCACACCAUGGGAGUGGGUUGCAAAAGAAGUAGGUAGUUUAACCUUCGGGAGGGCGCUUACCACUUUGUGAUUCAUGACUGGGGUGAAGUCGUAACAAGGUAACCGUAGGGGAACCUGCGGUUGGAUCACCUCCUUA